UAGCAGUGAUGUUUGAAUUUCUUCACCUGAAUACACUAUGUGGAUCAACAUAUCGAGCUUUUUAAAUCUGAGCUAU